rnacentral:rRNA from 1 species
CAGUCGAGCGAGCGGAACCACAGAUUUACUUCGGUAAUGACGUUGGGAAAGCGAGCGGCGGAUGGGUGAGUAACACGUGGGGAACCUGCCCCUAAGUCUGGGAUACCAUUUGGAAACAGGUGCUAAUACCGGAUAAUAAAGCAGAUCGCAUGAUCAGCUUUUGAAAGGCGGCGUAAGCUGUCGCUAAGGGAUGGCCCCGCGGUGCAUUAGCUAGUUGGUAAGGUAACGGCUUACCAAGGCGACGAUGCAUAGCCGAGUUGAGAGACUGAUCGGCCACAUUGGGACUGAGACACGGCCCAAACUCCUACGGGAGGCAGCAGUAGGGAAUCUUCCACAAUGGACGCAAGUCUGAUGGAGCAACGCCGCGUGAGUGAAGAAGGUUUUCGGAUCGUAAAGCUCUGUUGUUGGUGAAGAAGGAUAGAGGUAGUAACUGGCCUUUAUUUGACGGUAAUCAACCAGAAAGUCACGGCUAACUACGUGCCAGCAGCCGCGGUAAUACGUAGGUGGCAAGCGUUGUCCGGAUUUAUUGGGCGUAAAGCGAGCGCAGGCGGAAAAAUAAGUCUAAUGUGAAAGCCCUCGGCUUAACCGAGGAACUGCAUCGGAAACUGUUUUUCUUGAGUGCAGAAGAGGAGAGUGGAACUCCAUGUGUAGCGGUGGAAUGCGUAGAUAUAUGGAAGAACACCAGUGGCGAAGGCGGCUCUCUGGUCUGCAACUGACGCUGAGGCUCGAAAGCAUGGGUAGCGAACAGGAUUAGAUACCCUGGUAGUCCAUGCCGUAAACGAUGAGUGCUAAGUGUUGGGAGGUUUCCGCCUCUCAGUGCUGCAGCUAACGCAUUAAGCACUCCGCCUGGGGAGUACGACCGCAAGGUUGAAACUCAAAGGAAUUGA